rnacentral:misc_RNA from 1 species
CGAACGGUCGAGCUUGAUUCCUUAGAACAUCGAGAGAAGCAGCCGAGGGAUUAAACGACGCUGGAAAAAAACGACUACGAAGCUGUUACGCGUGUGCCUUGAUGGGGUGUGCUUUCGGUGUGUUUGGGCGGGGUGUCAGGCAGUCGGUGCCGCAUCGGCUCAUGCAGCUAGUUUGCUAAAAAUGGCAGCGUCGUUCGGUUUUCACCCGUGGAAUAACAAUUACUGGCUACGACCGAGGAAGAAAUCCAGUUGACACCCGGGCGCGGGUAACCUACGAAGAACGGGGAGCAAGGGCGAACACGUGGUCCGUGAGGGAGCAAUUCGUCCGGUUUACUAUUCGAGGUGCGUGUGCUCGACUAGCUACGCCCCUGGCGCACGUGCGUACGCGUACUUCCACGAGUCGCGUCGUUGCGUGCGGUGCACCGUGCACGUGUGAGUGACAAAUCGCGAGUGAAAGUGUCGGAGGCUAGUGACUUUUUUUUUCUAUUUUCACGCUCUCCUCACGGGCUUUCUUGCACUUUUGCACGCGCCAACCUGUCUUGACAGCUGAAACUUGACGUUUCGAAGCGUCGGUGUCGACACCUUUGAACGGUCGAAUGUUUACGAUCGAGUCAGAUCGCUGAACCGACCAAAUCGAACACGAAAACAUUUUCCUGGCAAUAAGGGAUAAAUUUGCCUCGUGAUUCCUGUGAUUUUUAUCGUUCGUUCGACGCGAGUUCAAUGCGCGUAACAAAAAUUAUUCGGUAAAUACGCGAAGAAGAGUCCCGUGGCGCCACCUGCGCGUUACGUCCCUGGCAAGGGUCGUCUGUUGACUCUGGUGGUGUUUAUUCGCGCUUGCCUCUUCUCUCUCUCUUGCACCGGGUCAUUUGUGUUUGGACGAUCGGGAAUUUUUUGCAAUGUGACGGCAAAAUGAAUCAAGAUUAGCGUGAUGUCGGACCUGUGCACGCGCCUAACAGUGGGUGCGCGCCUGGAUCUCGACUGGAAAACUGGCGGAACGUCUUGAAACAGGUCAAAUAUCACCGUGAAAAUGCCGGCAACGCGACCGUACAGGCUGUAGCCGCCUAAAUACGCCAUUGGCAGCCACCACCACACUGGAGGAUCCAGGAACACCAGCCUCUUGGAAGGGCCCGCC